rnacentral:lncRNA from 1 species
UAGAUCAAAUCUAUUACCUUGCAAAUUAGACGUUCUAACUUUAUUGAUCCAGGCUUGACAAUGAUGUUGUAAGCCGCACACACAUCCGACCUCUAGGAGUCAUCCAUACGAGCCCACGAAUUACGAUCAGAAGUCUUGGUCCAGGAAAUUAGCACAGUAUGCUAGUACUAUGCUGAUCCUUCUUCGAUGGUCGAUCAGAUAUCUCUUCUUCUUAAUUUAGAUUCUUCCAAAGAUGAGAAGUAGGAGGAGUUUUAGAUAUGAGACACUCUUAGAAAACUCAC